rnacentral:rRNA from 1 species
UACGUAGGUGACAAGCGUUGUCCGGAUUUACUGGGCGUAAAGAGCGCGCAGGCGGUCGAUCAAGUCGAGUGUGAAAGCCCCCGGCUCAACUGGGGAGGGUCAUUCGAUACUGAUCGACUCGAAGGCAGGAGAGGGUAGUGGAAUUCCCGGUGUAGCGGUGAAAUGCGUAGAUAUCUGGAGGAACACCGGUGGCGAAGGCGGCAUCCUGGACCGGUAUUGACGCUGAGGCGCGAAAGCUAGGGGAGCAAACGGG